UGAGACACGGCCCAGACUCCUACGGGAGGCAGCAGUGGGGAAUAUUGCACAAUGGGCGCAAGCCUGAUGCAGCGACGCCGCGUGAGGGAUGACGGCCUUCGGGUUGUAAACCUCUUUCAGUAGGGAAGAAGCGAAAGUGACGGUACCUGCAGAAGAAGCGCCGGCUAACUACGUGCCAGCAGCCGCGGUAAUACGUAGGGCGCAAGCGUUAUCCGGAAUUAUUGGGCGUAAAGAGCUCGUAGGCGGUUUGUCGCGUCUGCCGUGAAAGUCCGGGGCUCAACUCCGGAUCUGCGGUGGGUACGGGCAGACUAGAGUGAUGUAGGGGAGACUGGAAUUCCUGGUGUAGCGGUGAAAUGCGCAGAUAUCAGGAGGAACACCGAUGGCGAAGGCAGGUCUCUGGGCAUUAACUGACGCUGAGGAGCGAAAGCAUGGGGAGCGAACAGGAUUAGAUACCCUGGUAGUCCAUGCCGUAAACGUUGGGCACUAGGUGUGGGGGACAUUCCACGUUUUCCGCGCCGUAGCUAACGCAUUAAGUGCCCCGCCUGGGGAGUACGGCCGCAAGGCUAAAACUCAAAGGAAUUGACGGGGGCCCGCACAAGCGGCGGAGCAUGCGGAUUAAUUCGAUGCAACGCGAAGAACCUUA
rnacentral:rRNA from 1 species